rnacentral:rRNA from 1 species
UACGUAGGGUGCAAGCGUUGUCCGGAUUUAUUGGGCGUAAAGAGCUCGUAGGCGGUUUGUCGCGUCGGAUGUGAAAACCCAGGGCUCAACCCUGGGCCUGCAUUCGAUACGGGCAGACUAGAGGUAGGCAGGGGAGAACGGAAUUCCUGGUGUAGCGGUGAAAUGCGCAGAUAUCAGGAGGAACACCGGUGGCGAAGGCGGUUCUCUGGGCCUUACCUGACGCUGAGGAGCGAAAGCGUGGGGAGCAAACAGG